rnacentral:rRNA from 1 species
GGGAGUGAAAUAGAACCUGAAACCCUGCACUUACAAGCUGUGGAAGCACAUUUCUUGUGUGACCGCGUACUUUUUGUAGAACGGGCCAACGAGUUACGUUAAGUAGCAAGGUUAAGCACUUAAGGUGCGGAGCCAUAGCGAAAGCGAGUUUUAACUGAGCGUUCAGUUACUUGACGUAGACCCGAAACCGGGCGACCUACCCAUGAGCAGGAUGAAGCGAAAGUAAAAUUUCGUGGAGGUCCGAACCCACGAGCGUUGAAAA